rnacentral:rRNA from 1 species
AACGAACGCUGGCGGCAUGCCUAACACAUGCAAGUCGAACGAGACCUUCGGGUCUAGUGGCGCACGGGUGCGUAACGCGUGGGAACCUGCCCUUAGGUUCGGAAUAACUCCCCGAAAGGGGUGCUAAUACCGGAUAAUGUCUUCGGACCAAAGAUUUAUCGCCUUUGGAUGGGCCCGCGUUGGAUUAGCUAGUUGGUAGGGUAAAAGCCUACCAAGGCGACGAUCCAUAGCUGGUCUGAGAGGAUGAUCAGCCGCACUGGGACUAAGACACGGCCCAGACUCCUAGGGGAGGCAGCAGUGGGGAAUAUUGGACAAUGGGCGAAAGCCUGAUCCAGCAAUGCCGCGUGAGUGAUGAAGGCCUUAGGGUUGUAAAGCUCUUUUACCCGGGAUGAUAAUGACAGUACCGGGAGAAUAAGCACCGGCUAACUCCGUG